CAAAAGAUAAGAGGGGUUAAGAACUGAGAAGUGGUUUGAAGAGUUUUGGAGUAGAAGCGAUUGAUGGUUAUGAGGAGGAGGGGGUGAAGACGAGGAAUUGAGCCGGAAUUGCAUCAUGUGGCCGGAAGACUCUGAAUUUUGUUUCUCAGUGUCCUUGAACAGAGAAUGAACCGAUCUGAAAACUUGGCGAUGGAUCCUCGAGUUUCGUUCAGACCAUAUGCAGUAGAUAGUGAUCUGCAUAAACGGGAAGUUGAUUAUAAACGUCUCUGUUUUGUUGACUUGAUCAUUAGUGUUUGAUUAUACACGGGAAGAACUUUGAUGAUGAUCAUUUGCGUUAAUUCUGGGUUGAGCUUAAUGUUUGGGUCUAUUGUUUAAAAAAAAAUAAAAAUUCUGUCUUUGCUGGCUGUAACAUGACGGCACCAAAUCUCUCAAUUAAUUUGUAGAAAAAAGAAUAAAGUUAUUGAUUUUAUUUCUCAAAACUCUUAAAAUUCUUUCUAGUCACCUCCUAAAAUUCUGCUCAAAUCCCAAGUUUUUUCAAAAGGGAAAAUUGUUUUUUUUGAGAAAAAAAAUAAUAACUACGUACCUUAGAUUAAUCUCAUAUAUUUAAUGUUCCAUUAGGUUAAUUAUUUUCAAAAAAGUAAUAAUGCCCUUAAAAUUAUAAUUUUUAAAUAU
rnacentral:lncRNA from 1 species